ACUAAGAGAAAUCACGGAUAGAUUCUUGCAAAAAUGUCUAACUCAGGGAAAUGGCUCAAAAAAACAAGGGGACGAAGUAAAGCGAAACAAUGAAAGUGAAAACGAGGUAAUUGAUCUGACACUCAACGAAAGCGAGAAAAUAGAAACAAAUACAAGAUCUGAACAACGCAUACAG